rnacentral:snRNA from 1 species
CCGGUGCGCCCCCGGCGGC